rnacentral:rRNA from 1 species
GACGAACGCUGGCGGCGUGCUUAACACAUGCAAGUCGAACGGAAAGGCCUUUUCGGAGGUACUCGAGUGGCGAACGGGUGCGUAACACGUGGGUGAUCUGCCCUGCACUCUGGGAUAAGCCUGGGAAACUGGGUCUAAUACCGGAUAGGACCGCACUUUAGUGUGUGUGGUGGAAAGUUUUUUCGGUGUAGGAUGAGCCCGCGGCCUAUCAGCUUGUUGGUGGGGUAAUGGCCUACCAAGGCGGCGACGGGUAGCCGGACUGAGAGGUUGGUCGGCCACAUUGGGACUGAGAGACGGCCCAGACUCCUACGGGAGGCAGCAGUGGGGAAUAUUGCACAAUGGGCGCAAGCCUGAUGCAGCGACGCCGCGUGGGGGAUGACGGCCUUCGGGUUGUAAACUCCUUUCGCCAGGGACGAAGCGUUUUGUGACGGUACCUGGAGAAGAAGCACCGGCUAACUACGUG